UACGUAGGCAGCGAGCGUUGUUCGGAGUUACUGGGCGUAAAGGGUGUGUAGGCGGUUGUUUAAGUUUGGUGUGAAAUCUCCCGGCUCAACUGGGAGGGUGCGCCGAAUACUGAAUGACUCGAGUGUGGGAGAGGUGAGUGGAAUUCCUGGUGUAGCGGUGAAAUGCGUAGAUAUCAGGAGGAACACCUGUGGUGUAGACAGCUUACUGGACCACUUCUGACGCUGAGACACGAAAGCGUGGGUAGCAAACAGG
rnacentral:rRNA from 1 species